UUGUAAAGCACUUUCAGCGAGGAGGAAGGGAUGUAUGUUAAUAGCAUGCAUUUUUGACGUUACUCGCAGAAGAAGCACCGGCUAACUCUGUGCCAGCAGCCGCGGUAAUACAGAGGGUGCAAGCGUUAAUCGGAAUUACUGGGCGUAAAGCGCACGUAGGCGGUUAGUUAAGUUGGAUGUGAAAGCCCCGGGCUCAACCUGGGAAUUGCAUUCAAAAACUGGCUAACUAGAGUAUGUGAGAGGGGGGGCAGAAUUCCAAGUGUAGCGGUGAAAUGCGUAGAGAUUUGGAGGAAUACCAGUGGCGAAGGCGGCCCCCUGGCACAAUACUGACGCUGAGGUGAGAAAGCGUGGGGAGCAAACAGGAUUAGAUACCCUGGUAGUCCACGCCGUAAACGAUGUCUACUAGCUGUUCGUGGUCUUGUACUGUGAGUAGCGCAGCUAACGCACUAAGUAGACCGCCUGGGGAGUACGGUCGCAAGAUUA
rnacentral:rRNA from 1 species